CUCUCUCCCUCACCAUAAAAAUGUAGGCGCGUGUCUUUGAUUGUGCCUCUACAAACGUGAUCGUCUCCUGCCUUACUACACGGUGUGUCCUUCCACUCUACCUGACAAUGACAUAGUGAAACGUGGACAAUGUGACAUUGUAGGCGCCUCCACAAUACAAGGUUGUUUCCAAGGUUACAACCAUGACAUUGACUCCACCUGACAGCCGGAACGUGAGGCUGUAUGUCCAAAGUCCAAAACAGUUGCGUGGGCUUGCAAUCUCCACCCUAAUUUACACAGUGAACGUCGCUCUCCAGAUUCCACACAUAUCUCCGCAACGAUGUCGGAUUACCAAAA